UUGAACUGCUAGCGAAGAAUCAUCUUAAGAAAAGUAUGUGCCAAAAAUGCAGAGCAAUUCCGCUCACAUGUACAUACAGUUGUCACUUCAAUUUGAAACAUGGAUAAUAUUUCUUAACUUAGUGAACCGCAUGACAUAGAAAUCAACCCAAUCCUGUCGAAACAUACAUUAAGUUGUUAACUAAACAGAGCAGCUAAAGAUCUAAAGGCGGGGAAGAGGAAUACAGUUGGGUGCCAGCAACCGAAGAAAGGCUGCCACACACGUAAAAAGGUGGCGAUGAGUGCCGGCGGCUAGUCAAGGUCCAUGUAUCGUUGAGAAUUUGAAGGACACAAAGAUGGAUGGCUGCAAGAAGAUUAAAUUGCUUGUUGGACAUGAUAAAAAAUAUAUGAGAGCCAAAAUUACAUUAAGCAAUAGUAAGAAGUUGAUAAAUUGUACACUAUCACAAUUGCGGCAAGACAAAGAUCAUUUGCUCACAAAGCAGAAAACUAUUUAAUCAGAAUAGAAAAAAUACAACCACACAGGUACUAAUGUUAAAGGUGAAUUAAAAAAUAAAAUGUCCGUCAGUGCAUGAUACGAGGUCAUGGCCAGCUCAUAUUAAAUAGCAGCGUUCAACAUUGAUCAUGUUGAGUUGAAAGAGAUCACCUGAAUAUAAAUCCCACGGUCCCAUAGACCGUGUUUUGCAAAACAUCAUGAUGCAGUGAUAUAAUGGUUGAAAUUCUAAAAGGGUAACUUCUUAUUUUUUUCAGUAUUCUGCAAUAGAAGAAAAGAAACACUCGGUAUGGCAUAACGAAAAAUUGCAAUAGUAAAAUAAUUCAUAUAGCUACAGCUGGUAGGUGAACAGUUCUUAGAGAGCGAACAUCCAACCCGAAGUCCUAAAUUAGCAUGUUGGUAGUUGCUACUCAGUUUACAAAUAGAAAAAACCAACCUAAAUAUCCAGGAAUCACGUGAUUCAAGCUAUAGGUACUUAUUUAUUUUAAAUAGAUUUUUUUCCACCAUGGCUGACACAUAUUGAAUAUCUAUCAAAGAAAUAACAAUGUGUAUUGCAAAGACAAGAAAGCAGGAGGACAUACCUAUUUAAUCAAUUCAGGGGCUUCCCUUGACUCGAGAUUAACCUUGGCACCGAUUUGAAUAGGACUUCAGUUUUGGGAGGGAAAUGCUGUCAACAGAGGCC
rnacentral:lncRNA from 1 species